rnacentral:rRNA from 1 species
GUGUCAGCAGCCGCGGUAAUACGAAGGGUGCAAGCGUUAUUCGGAAUGAUUGGGCGUAAAGGGUGCGCAGACGGUUUGUUAAGUCAACUGUUAAAUCUCCUGGCCUAACCGGGAGCCCGCAGUAGAAACUGGCGAACUAGAGGAUGGAAGAGAGAAGUGGAAUUCUCGGAGUAGCGGUAAAAUGCGUAGAUCUCGAGAGGAACACCGAUGGCGAAGGCAGCUUCUUGGUCCAUAUCUGACGUUCAUGCACGAAAGCGUGGGGAGCAAACAGGAUUAGAUACCCCGGUAGUCC